GUCACUUGUGGGUGAUGCUGCAAUAGAUAAACCUAGGGAAACAACAGUUGCUAGAACUACUGUAAUCCUAUACAAAAAGCGAAGAUGGUGAUGGUAAAAUAACUAAAAUAAGGUAAAAGUAAAACAAAACAAACAAAA